CGCUCGCCGGGCUGUGGAGUUGUUGUUUUUGUUUUAAUAAGGCCACCGAUACUCCACGUGAUGAUCUGGUGGCCUCGCUGGGUGUCCUCGGGAGGCCACUUUGACAGACAGGGAGGCCGUUUCUGCACUCUGCUGCGUCAGACCUUGCUGGUAACUCCGGGCCUCUGCAGAGGAAAUCUGCAUAGGGAAGGCGGUGUGGACGGACAGAAACGGCCCUCACAGCCACAGAACCACCGCGGCCACAGCAGCGCGGCGUCCGGCAGGGAGCGGACCGUGGUGGAGGCCUCUGAGCCGAGCAGGCCACGCAGACCCGGGAGGCGCUGAAGCGGGCGCAGCUGCGCCCUGGAGCAGGCAGACCAGGCCACGGCGGAGGGAGAGGCCCGGGGACGCGGCGCAGCCCCUGCGGAGAGGCACGGGGGCGGCGGGGACGCCCUCCCACUGGCUGAAAUGCCAGGGACCGGCCUGGGCGUGGAGCAGCCGGGGCGAGCCCGCCUCCAGGCACCGCCGGC
ensembl:lncRNA novel transcript